rnacentral:rRNA from 1 species
UCGAGAAUUUUUCUCAAUGGGCGAAAGCCUGAAGGAGCGACGCCGCGUGGGGGAUGAAGGGCUUCGGUCCGUAAACCCCUGUCAUUUGCGAACAAACCUUACCAUUGAACAUUUGGUGAGCUGAUUGUAGCGAAAGAGGAAGGGACGGCUAACUCUGUGCCAGCAGCCGCGGUAAUACAGAGGUCCCGAGCGUUUUUCGGAUUCACUGGGCGUAAAGGGUGCGCAGGUGGCAUGGCAAGUUUGAUGUGAAAGCUUCGGGCUUAACCCGGAAAUGGCAUUGAAUACUGCUGUGCUGGAGGGUCGGAGGGGGGACUGGAAUUCUUGGUGUAGCAGUGAAAUGCGUAGAUAUCAAGAGGAACACCAGUGGCGAAGGCGAGUCCCUGGACGAUACCUGACACUGAGGCACGAAAGCCAAGGGAGCAAA